CAGCAAGCUCCAGGCCUACCAGCAAGCUCCAGGUCUACCAGCAAGCUCCAGGUCUACCAGCAAGCUCCAGGUCUACCAGCAAGCUCCAGGUCUACCAGCAAGCUCCAGGUCUACCAGCAAGCUCCAGGCCUACCAGCAAGCUCCAGGUCUACCAGCAAGCUCCAGGCCUACCAGCAAGCUCCAGGUCUACCAGCAAGCUCCAGGUCUACCAGCAAGCUCCAGGUCUACCAGCAAGCUCCAGGUCUACCAGCAAGCUCCAGGCUAGCCCGAGCUGUGAUCUCACCAGAUCAUGUCUCAAAAACAAAAACAAAUGUCCAGAAACAGUCUGGCU